rnacentral:rRNA from 1 species
GUAGGUGGCAAGCGUUGUCCGGGAAUUAUUGGGGCGUAAAGCGCGCGCAGGCGGCUCUUUAAGGUCUGAUGUGAAAGCCCACGGGCUCAACCGUGGAGGGUCAUUGGAAACUGGAGAACUUGAGUACAGAAGAGGAAAGCGGAAUUCCACGUGUAGCGGUGAAAUGCGUAGAGAUGUGGAGGAACACCAGUGGCGAAGGCGGCUUUCUGGUCUGUAACUGACGCUGAGGCGCGAAAGCGUGGGGAGCAAACAGGAUUAGAUACCCUGGUAGUCCACGCCGUAAACGAUGAGUGCUAAGUGUUAGGGGGUUUCCGCCCCUUAGUGCUGCAGCUAACGCAUUAAGCACUCCGCCUGGGGAGUACGGCCGCGAGGCUG